GGGAGGAGCUGUCAAAGAGAAGACUCGAAACAUACUGAGAGUUCUUGAUCAGAGCCUUGAGGUGAAUCUGAAACGAGAGUGUCUACUGAAGGGCCUUAUUGUCUACCUUGGGGAAAACGUCGACAAACUCUUCAAAGAAUAUCUGGUCAGUCAGGAGGAGGAAGCAGAACAAGAGCUUGCGAGAUGUACCAUGGCAGUUUUUGUCAUCAGAGAGGAGGAGGAUCCUCUUCAGCCCCCACGUGAUAUUGGAGUCAUUAUUGAAGGUGUGAGAGUGCUCUGUGAGUUGCCAUCGCUUGCACAUGGAUGUGCCAUGUUGUUUGGCCUCAUCUAUGCGCUGAACUUGCGUUAUCCAAGUGAGUUAAAACAUACUUUUGAUGCACUGCAGAAAAUAUUCAUGGA